UGGGGAAUCUUGGACAAUGGGGGCAACCCUGAUCCAGCCAUGCCGCGUGAGUGAUGAAGGCCUUAGGGUCGUAAAGCUCUUUCGCCUGUGAAGAUAAUGACGGUAGCAGGUAAAGAAACCCCGGCUAACUCCGUGCCAGCAGCCGCGGUAAUACGGAGGGGGUUAGCGUUGUUCGGAAUUACUGGGCGUAAAGCGCACGUAGGCGGACCAGAAAGUUGGGGGUGAAAUCCCGGGGGCUCAACCCCGGAACUGCCUCCAAAACUAUUGGUCUAGAGUUCGAGAGAGGUGAGUGGAAUUCCAAGUGUAGAGGUGAAAUUCGUAGAUAUUUGGAGGAACACCAGUGGCGAAGGCGGCUCACUGGCUCGAUACUGACGCUGAGGUGCGAAAGUGUGGGGAGCAAACAGGAGUUAGAUACCCUGGUAGUCCACACCGUAAAACGAUGAAUGCCAGUCGUCGGGUAGCAUGCUAUUCGGUGACACACCU
rnacentral:rRNA from 1 species